ACGGAAGGCAGCAGUGGGGAAUAUUGGGCAAUGGGGGGAACCCUGACCCAGCAACGCCGCGUGGAGGAAGAAGGUCUUCGGAUCGUAAACUCCUGUCCUAAAGGAAGAGUAGAAGACUGUACUUUAGGAGGAAGCCCCGGCUAACUACGUGCCAGCAGCCGCGGUAAUACGUAGGGGGCAAGCGUUGUCCGGAAUGAUUGGGCGUAAAGGGCGCGUAGGCGGCCCGGUAAGUCUGAAGUGAAAGUCCUGGCUUUAAGUUGGGAAUUGCUUUGGAUACUGUCGGGCUUGAGUGCAGGAGAGGUUAUCGGAAUUCCCGGUGUAGCGGUGAAAUGCGUAGAGAUCGGGAGGAACACCAGUGGCGAAGGCGGGUAACUGGACUGCAACUGACGCUGAGGCGCGAAAGUGUGGGGAGCAAACAGGAUUAGAUACCCUGGUA
rnacentral:rRNA from 1 species